rnacentral:tRNA from 1 species
ACCUGGCUGGCUCAGUCGGUGGAGUGUGAGGCUCUUGAUCUCAGGGAUGUGAGUUCAAGCCCCACGUUGGGUA